rnacentral:rRNA from 1 species
GAUGAACGCUGGCGGCGUGCCUAAUACAUGCAAGUCGAGCGAACAGACGAGGAGCUUGCUCCUCUGACGUUAGCGGCGGACGGGUGAGUAACACGUGGAUAACCUACCUAUAAGACUGGGAUAACUUCGGGAAACCGGAGCUAAUACCGGAUAAUAUAUUGAACCGCAUGGUUCAAUAGUGAAAGACGGUUUUGCUGUCACUUAUAGAUGGAUCCGCGCCGCAUUAGCUAGUUGGUAAGGUAACGGCUUACCAAGGCAACGAUGCGUAGCCGACCUGAGAGGGUGAUCGGCCACACUGGAACUGAGACACGGUCCAGACUCCUACGGGAGGCAGCAGUAGGGAAUCUUCCGCAAUGGGCGAAAGCCUGACGGAGCAACGCCGCGUGAGUGAUGAAGGUCUUCGGAUCGUAAAACUCUGUUAUUAGGGAAGAACAAAUGUGUAAGUAACUAUGCACGUCUUGACGGUACCUAAGCAGAAAGCCACGGCUAAAUACGU